GACGGAGGGUGCAAGCGUUGUUCGGAAUUACUGGGCGUAAAGCGUACGUAGGCGGCGGGUUAAGUCGAAUGUUAAAGCCAGAGGCUCAACCUCUGAGAUGCAUUCGAUACUGGCUUGCUAGAGGGUGAUAGAGGAAAGUGGAAUUCCCAGUGUAGCGGUGAAAUGCGUAGAUAUUGGGAGGAACAUCAGUAGCGAAGGCGACUUUCUGGGUCACACCUGACGCUGAGGUACGAAAGCGUGGGGAGCAAAC
rnacentral:rRNA from 1 species